UUUUUGUGAGCGGUAAGUCCACUCUAGGGCGUCCACAGUGCUUCCAUCCAUCGGUUGGCAUGAGCUGUGGCACAGAAGGCCUAGAGGGCACGCUCUUUUU
ncrna:unclassified sequences DTF3800-V RNA